GUUGUCGACUCCUUGCGCGGGCCAAUCAAAAUCGGUGUUGAUCGAGAGCCCACCCGCCACCCCUUGCAGAUCACGCGUCGCGGGUCCUCAAAUUUCCGUCAGCGGUCGCCCAGUUCGGUCGUCAAUCUCGUGUCCGGUCCGGUCGGUCGGGGCAAAGCGCACUCAUCAUGGCCUCAAGUAUUUUCCUCUCUUGUAACGUUUUGAGGCUCAUUCAACGUCUCUUACCGAGUUUUCUGCCCGUAUUAUCGCUGUGUGUGUCUCGCGAAAACUCUUCGGUGGUGUAUGUGAAAUUGAUCGUGAGCGUUUUCGUCACGUGAACUGAGUCCUUCGUUUUCUUGAAAAUCACCAACUCGUGCUCGGCCGGCGUCUGUGUGAAUUGAAUGUUGGGAGUUGAUGCCCAAAACCCUCGUCUACGUACUUUUGUCGUUUAUUAUCGGUGUGCGUGUUUCGUGAAAACUAUUCGGCGAUGUGUAUGAAAACAAUCGUGAUUCGUGUGUAUUAAUUUGUCACUUAAAUCGGCUGGCCGCCCUUUGUGGCCUAUUCUUCUCGAAAUGUCGCAUCGUUCUCGGCGCUCGUGCGAUGAAUUGAAUCGAGGCGAUUGAUCCCCCCCAACUUUGAUUGAUGUUCGUAGUUUUCAGUGUUUCGGGUAUACCUUUGUGAACUUCUCCAUUCUGCAAUGCGUGCGGGAUUUUCUCCAUUGCUCACUCACUGAUCGGUCGCCCGGGUUUUCGGGAGUGAUCUCGUUCCUCGUGAGUGGUGCGUAUUGCCAUGUGCUAUGUGUGCGUUGUGGUACUUAUCCCAUUAUAUCGGCUUCGCGUUUUAAUUGUGUUUGUGUUUCCUUCUCGAUGAUUAUCGCGAAUAAUUGGAUUAACUCGUGCCGACCAUUUGAUGGCGUUGGAUAUCUGGUCACAGUCUAUUCCUUUGAUGCUUGCACGUUUGGCGUUGGUCUGGAUUCAGCUAAUGUUUCUUAGUGCGCAGUGCGGUUUCAGUGAAAAUGUCGUGUCGUGAGUGCUUUCAGCUUGGCGUCGGGCAAUUGGAUAACUCUCCCCUGG